AUUAUUGUGGUACGCAGCGUCCUGAUUGGUGGAAAAUGCUUUGCAGAAAGAAACGGCUGUUGUCAGGUAAAAAUGUCACUGUCAAAGAGGCUGAAGCAAAAAGUUGACGUGGAAUGAUGAAUAGACUGAUAAGCAGGCUAUGCAUUCAUCAUGUAUGCCUCAUAUGCAAGGAAAUGAUGCUGUUGCAAAAUAACACAACCAGCAUCAUCAUCAAGAAUGAAGAACAAAAAAUAACAAUUCUGUUGUUCACGUGCAUGUUA